rnacentral:rRNA from 1 species
UGGGGACUAUUGGACAAUGGGCGAAAGCCUGAUCCAGCCAUGCCGCGUGUGUGAAGAAGGUCUUCGGAUUGUAAAGCACUUUAAGUUGGGAGGAAGGGCAUUAACCUAAUACGUUAGUGUUUUGACGUUACCGACAGAAUAAGCACCGGCUAACUCUGUGCCAGCAGCCGCGGUAAUACAGAGGGUGCAAGCGUUAAUCGGAAUUACUGGGCGUAAAGCGCGCGUAGGUGGUUUGUUAAGUUGGAUGUGAAAUCCCCGGGCUCAACCUGGGAACUGCAUUCAAAACUGACUGACUAGAGUAUGGUAGAGGGUGGUGGAAUUUCCUGUGUAGCGGUGAAAUGCGUAGAUAUAGGAAGGAACACCAGUGGCGAAGGCGACCACCUGGACUAAUACUGACACUGAGGUGCGAAAGCGUGGGGAGCAAACA